rnacentral:rRNA from 1 species
ACGGAAGGCAGCAGUAGGGAAUCUUCCACAAUGGGCGGAAGCCUGAUGGAGCAACGCCGCGUGUGUGAUGAAGGGUUUCGGCUCGUAAAACACUGUUGUAAGAGAAGAAUGACAUUGAGAGUAACUGUUCAAUGUGUGACGGUAUCUUACCAGAAAGGAACGGCUAAAUACGUGCCAGCAGCCGCGGUAAUACGUAUGUUCCAAGCGUUAUCCGGAUUUAUUGGGCGUAAAGCGAGCGCAGACGGUUAUUUAAGUCUGAAGUGAAAGCCCUCAGCUCAACUGAGGAAUUGCUUUGGAAACUGGAUGACUUGAGUGCAGUAGAGGAAAGUGGAACUCCAUGUGUAGCGGUGAAAUGCGUAGAUAUAUGGAAGAACAUCAGUGGCGAAGGCGACUUUCUGGACUGUAACUGACGUUGAGGCUCGAAAGUGUGUGUGGCAAACAGGAUUAGAUACCCUGGUA